rnacentral:ncRNA from 3 species
GACGAAGGAUGCAAGCGUUAUCCGGAUUCAUUGGGUUUAAAGGGUGCGUAGGCGGAUUUGCAAGUCAGUGGUGAAAUCUCCGGGCUUAACUCGGAAACUGCCAUUGAUACUGCAGAUCUUGAGUACAGAUGAUGUUGGCGGAAUAUGACAUGUAGCGGUGAAAUGCAUAGAUAUGUCAUAGAACACCGAUUGCGAAGGCAGCUGACAAAACUGUAACUGACGCUGAGGCACGAAAGUGCGGGGAUCAAACAGG